AAAUUGAAGAGUUUGAUCAUGGCUCAGAUUGAACGCUGGCGGCAGGCCUAACACAUGCAAGUCGAACGGUAGCACAGAGAGCUUGCUCUCGGGUGACGAGUGGCGGACGGGUGAGUAAUGUCUGGGAAACUGCCUGAUGGAGGGGGAUAACUACUGGAAACGGUGGCUAAUACCGCAUAACGUCGCAAGACCAAAGAGGGGGACCUUCGGGCCUCUUGCCAUCAGAUG
rnacentral:rRNA from 3 species